rnacentral:rRNA from 1 species
UACGUAGGGUGCGAGCGUUGUCCGAAUUAUUGGGCGUAAAGAGCUCGUAGGCGGUGUGUCACGUCGGCCGUGAAAACCUGCAGCUUAACUGUGGGCGUGCGGUCGAUACGGGCAUCACUGGAGUUCGGCAGGGGAGACUGGAAUUCCUGGUGUAGCAGUGAAAUGCGUAGAGAUCGUAAGGAAGACCAGUGGCGAAGGGCGGGU